rnacentral:rRNA from 1 species
UUUAUGACUGAGUGGCGGACGGGUGAGUAACGCGUGGGCAACCUGCCCCGUACCGGGGGAUAACAGCCGGAAACGGCUGCUAAUACCGCAUACGCUUGGAAGGCCGCAUGGCUUUUCAAGCAAAACUCCGGUGGUACGGGAUGGGCCCGCGUCUGAUUAGCUUGUUGGCGGGGUAACGGCCCACCAAGGCGACGAUCAGUAGCCGGCCUGAGAGGGCGGCCGGCCACAUUGGGACUGAGACACGGCCCAGACUCCUACGGGAGGCAGCAG